GACGUAGGGGGCAAGCGUUGUCCGGAUUUAUUGGGCGUAAAGAGCGUGUAGGCGGCCAUGUAGGUCCGUUGUGAAAACUCGAGGCUCAACCUCGAGACGCCGAUGGAAACCAUGUGGCUAGAGUCCGGAAGAGGAGAGUGGAAUUCCUGGAUGUAGCGGUGAAAUGCGCAGAUAUCAGGAAGAACACCCGUGGCUAAGGCGGCUCUCUAGUACGGUACUGACGCUGAGACGCGAAAGCGUGGGGAGCGAACAGG
rnacentral:rRNA from 1 species